AUGUACAAUGUCAUCCAUAUUGAUGAGAAGUGGUCCUACCGCACUAAAGGUACUCAGAACUACUACUUGGCACCCGAUGAAGAGGAACCCUAUCACAGCACUCAGAGCAAGGGAUUUAUUGAGAAAGUGAUGUUCUUGGCAGCGGUAGCAAGGCCUCGUUAUGAUGAUGAUGGUGUCAUGACAUUUGAUGGCAAGAUUGGAAUUUGGCCGUUCACAUAUCAGGACUUCGCAAAGAGGCGUAGCCCUUAUAGAGAGAGGGGGAAGAGGUAA
rnacentral:rRNA from 1 species